GUCUCCCCUCAGACUUCUCUCCCCCACACCGUCCCUCCGGCUUCUCGAGCGCCGCCGUAGUCGCUCGCCAUCGCGACCCAGGACCCUGACCUCGACAGCGGUGGAUCGGGGGCCAACGACGGUGCGCCAGGCGGCGGUGGCGGCUCCCCCUCCUCCGACGUCGCCUCUCCAGUCUUUCCAUCCUUCGCCGUCGCGGUCGUGUCUCGGUCUAAGUGCCAACGACGGUGCACCAGACGGCGAUGGCGGCUCCCCCUCCUCCGACGUUGCCUCUCCAGUCUUUCCAUCCUUCGCCGCCGCGGUCGUGUCUCGGUCUAAGGGCCAACGACUGGGUCCGACCGGAGGCGAGUUCCUCAGACUCUACGAUUACACACACACAUACUUCCUCUCUCUCUCUCUUUGAUCUGUGUGAUGUUGGUUUGGUUGGUGCUGCGCAGGUGUACCUGCUGUUCAUGACGAUGGGUGUUGUCGUUGCAGCUCUUCGAGAACAUCACCAGGAACCUAGAAUCCAGGUGAACGAAGAGAUCUAUAACCAUGACGAAUUGAAAGCUAAGUUUAGAACUCAUGAAUUCUAAACUGGCAGUGAUUGUGAAGUGUAGCCCAUCUUUACGAAGAAUUUGGGGAAGAAUUUGUGGAUAUGUUGGAUGGAAUAAUCUCCUUUGUUCUUCUUGAUACACGUCAAAAAAGCUUCGUUGCAGCUCAUGAUGCUGUUGCCAUCUGCCCUUUAUACAUGGGAUGGUGUCUUGAUGGUAUGUAAAGCAAAGAUGGUUGCUUUGCCCUUCUGAAGAAAAUCAGGCAUUAAUUAUGUUUUUUGAUUCAUUUCACAAAACAAAACUUCUAGGACCAGUUUCGUAAAACUACCCGAGGCAUCUAUUUCAAACCUUACAACAAUCUGCAUGGGCACACUAUUUGUGUGAUUGAAAGGUGGGUCCAAUGAAGGUUUGUGGAACUGAGGGCACAAGUAGUGUACCAUGAAACUGAUCCUAAAAGUUGUAGUUCUUUGAUAGUUUGAAGCAAAUAGUUGUAAUUUUAUGAAAUGAAUUCUUUGUGCAUCUCAAACAUAAUUUUCUGGAAUUUGCUGAUGAAUUGCUUUGUCAACUACUGUUGCAGUGGUCAAUAAUGCUUGAAGGUACGACCAACAUUCCUAGCAGGAACUGGCCAGUUACCACCAAGAACCUCCUGGCAUGUUCUCUAGGUCCUGGAACAGAGAAACCACACAAAACACUUAAAUUUAAAUUUGCAUGUUGAAUGCUGAUUUCUUUGUGAAAUGAAAUAUAGAAACACCAGUAGCUAUCCAUUUCUGCAGAACAUUGAAAAAGGGCAACAUAUUGGGAAACAUUGUUGAUCUCAACAACUGGAAUUUAGUAUGGUUCAUGGGGCAGUUUUAAUUGCUGUUAUGGAUUGGGUACAUGGAACCUGUACUUUGCCUUGACUGAAACAUAGCUGAUGGAGCGAAUAAUUAUAUCUUGUUCACUAGCAUGCCAAUUGUUACUUGCAUUGCCAUAUCUAUAUUGCUGACAUACCUAUUGUCAGGACAAAUCAUUUGAGUCUUUGAGAAAGGAUAUCUCAUUGAAUUUGUUCUUUUUGGAAUUGUCCCUCAACACAAAUGCUAAAAUGAUUUUUCCAUAGGAGAGAAUGUAUGAUCCUCCAUUUUAAACAACCUUUUUAAAUACCAGUAUGAAAUAAUACCUUUUCCUUUGAGUAUCCAUCUGUGUUCCUAUAAUUUAAACACCAGUAUGUCCAUGACCACCUGCAGCAGGGUGUUGACUCCACCUUCAAGUGCCUCCUUAUCCAGCUCUCCAUGUAGACAUGUCCAAUAUUUCUCCAGUGCCUUUAAAUAACCUAAUGAGGGCAUGUAAACAUUUUGUCAUACAAUGACUCAUUUAUGUCCUACAGAUUUGUUAUGCCCAUACACCAGUUAUUGGAAAAACCUAUCAUGAGCAGCAAUACUGAUUAAAAUAAUAAUCAACUUUGCUAUUUUCAUGUGUUGCAGAAUAAGUAGAACAUAUCAUUGAACAACAUGUUGUCAUUUUUUGGACAUUUUUAUGUUGAGUAUCAACAUGGCUCUUGUUUAAAUUAUUGCGCUCUUACUCAGGAUGAGAUUGAAGCUGCUCGAAUGGCAGCGAUCAACAAGGAAAUUAAGCGUGUACUAACUGAAGUCCUUUCAAAGGCUGGGCAAAAGGUUCAUGAAGAAAGUGAAAGGCUGCGAGCCUGCGAUAGCAGGAACAUGAGCAGAUUGCAAUGAAGCGUAAGCGUGAAAUGGCAUACAAUCCUUGAUGUUUUUUAGACGCUUUGCGCUUGUGUCCCAGCUAAGGGAAAAGAAAAGUGGUUGGAGCUGGUGUACAUUCAGUGGAUUGAGCAUUAUAUAUGGUUGUCGAGUCCAAUUUCUUAAGGCAACUUUGCUGCUUUGCGUCAUUCUUCACUUUGACUUAGACCCAAAAAUUGGAAUCUUCAUUUUCUUCGCUUAAGCUGUUUCCCAUAUUUAUGUAGUAAUUCUACUCCCAUGUAUAAUAAAAUUUGAGGGGCUUGUUUUCCUUCUAAUAUUAUACAUGAAUUUUCAAUAAUUUUCAAGUUACUUGAGAACUCUCUUAUAUUGUUUUACAUUAUAUCAUGCUUUGCGAUCUUUACAUGGUGUUAUACUGGUAUAGGAUUAUGGUCCUGUCUACAAUGAUGAUUUUUUAUGUGCUUGCAGGCUCGGUGUAGAUGACGUGGCAUAAACACAAACGCACAAACAUUAAAGGGAUUAAAAAUUAUAUGCUGGACAAAGGUUCCCAAUUUAGGUUACCAAAAUGUUGUUCCCAAAGUUCUCAUCAUGGACAAGCGAAGUGAACAAUACGUUUCUCUUUAGUAAAAUCGUUGAUUUUCAUUUGCAGAACCUCUGUUUCAAGUUCCUCGAUUCAUUUUGGCAAGGGUCAUCUAUCUUCUGUAUAUUUUGCUCCAUCAAAUAGUUUUUUUUUUCAUUUUUUCUAGACAAAGUAGGAUAAUUUUGUAUUAGGACCAUGUGAUUGUACAAUUUGCCAAUAAUUAUGAGACCAACACCCUUUUGAAAAAGAAGGGCAGGAAAUGUGCA